rnacentral:snRNA from 1 species
GUGCUCGCUUUGGCAGCACAUAUACUAAAAUCAGAAUGAUACAGAGAAGAUUAGCAUGGCCCCUAUGCAAGGAUGACAUGUAAAUUCGUGAAGCAUUGCAUAUUUAU